rnacentral:rRNA from 1 species
GGUCGCAAGGCUGAAACUUAAAGGAAUUGGCGGGGGAGCACCGCAACCUGAGGAUUGUGCGGUUUAAUUGGAUUCAACGCCGGAAAACUCACCAGUGCCGACGGACAAAUGAAAGCCAGUGUGAUGAGCUUGCUGGAUUGUUCGAGAGGUAGUGCAUGGCCGCCGUCAGUUCGUACCGUAAGGCGUUCUGUUAAGUCAGAUAACGAACGAGACCCUCAUCCCUAUUUGCUAAGGUCAGUCCGCUGAUCACAGGACUAUAGGGAGACCGCUGGCGCGAAGUCAGAGGAAGGCGAGGGCAACGGUAGGUCAGUAUGCUCCGAAUGCACUGGGCUACACGCGCAAUACAAAGGACGGGACAAUGGGCCGCUGCGCCGAGAGGCAUGUGGCUAUCCCGAAACCCGUUCGUAGUUCGGAUUGAGGGCUGUAACUCGCCCUCAUGAAGCUGGAUUAGGUAGUAAUCGCGUCUCAAAAAGGCGCGGUGAAUAUGCCCCUGCUCCUUGCACACACCGCCCGUCAAACCAUCUUAGUUGGGGGUGGGUGAGGCUACCUUCUAGUGGGGUAUUCGAGCCUGCCUUCGACAAGGAGGGUUAAGUCGUAACAAGGUAUCUGUAGGGGAACCUGCAGAUG